rnacentral:rRNA from 1 species
UACGUAGGGUCCGAGCGUUGUCCGGAAUUACUGGGCGUAAAGAGCUCGUAGGUGGUUUGUCGCGUUGUUCGUGAAAACUCACAGCUUAACUGUGGGCGUGCGGGCGAUACGGGCAGACUUGAGUACUGCAGGGGAGACUGGAAUUCCUGGUGUAGCGGUGGAAUGCGCAGAUAUCAGGAGGAACACCGGUGGCGAAGGCGGGUCUCUGGGCAGUAACUGACGCUGAGGAGCGAAAGCGUGAGGAGCGAACAGG